AGAACGAACGCUGGCGGCGUGGAUAAGACAUGCAAGUCGAACGGAACUUAGUAGCAAUACUGAGUUCAGUGGCGGACGGGUGCGUAACACGUGAACAAUCUGCCCGGAAGAGGGGGAUAGCCCAGGGAAACUUGGAUUAAUACCCCGUGUGGUACAGGUGGGCAUCCAUCUGACACCAAAGGUGCUGCAAGGUGCCGCUUCCGGAUGAGUUCGCGCCCUAUCAGCUUGUUGGCGGGUAACGCCCACCAAGGCAAGUGACGGGUAGCUGGUCUGAGAGGAUGACCAGCCACACUGGAACUGAGACACGGUCCAGACACCGUACGGGUGCAGCAGUCGAGAUCAUUCACAAGUGGGACAAAGCCUGAUGGUGUGACGCCGCGGUGGAGGAUAGGAGGUCGUUCGGUAUUACGUAACUCUGUACAAGUGAAG
rnacentral:rRNA from 1 species